rnacentral:rRNA from 1 species
UACAUGGGGUGCAAACGUUGCUCGGAAUUAUUAGGCGUAAAGCGCACGUAGGUGGUUUGUUAUGUCGGAUGUGAAAGCCCUCGGCUCAACUGAGGAAGUGCAUCCGAAACUGGCAAGCUAGAGUAUGUAAGAGGGUCGCGGAAUUCCCGGUGUAGAGGUGAAAUUCGUAGAUAUCGGGAGGAACACCGGUGGCGAAGGCGGCGACCUGGGACAAUACUGACACUGAGGUGCGAAAGCGUGGGGAGCAAACAGG